rnacentral:rRNA from 1 species
UACGGGGGGGGGCAAGCGUUGUUCGGAAUUACUGGGCGUAAAGGGCCAGUAGGCGGCCAACUAAGUCCGACGUGAAAUCCCAAGGCUUAACCUUGGAACUGCGUCGGAUACUGGAUGGCUUGAAUUCGGGAGAGGGAUGCAGAAUUCCAGGUGUAGCGGUGAAAUGCGUAGAUAUCUGGAGGAAUACCGGUGGCGAAGGCGGCAUCCUGGACCGACAUUGACGCUGAGGUGCGAAAGCGUGGGGAGCAAACAGGG